AUUGAACGCUGGCGGCACGCCUAACACAUGCAAGUCGAGCGGCAGCAUGCUUAGUAGCAAUACUAAGUGAUGGCGAGCGGCGGACGGGUGAGGAACACGUAGGAACCUGCCCAAGAGAGGGGGAUAACUAAGGGAAACUUUAGCUAAUACCGCAUAAUCUCUGAGGAGAAAAGUUGACCGUAAGGGUAGCGCUUUUGGAGGGGCCUGGGUCCGGUUAGCUAGUUGGUGAGGUAAUAGCUCACCAAGGCGAUGAUCGGUAAAUGGUCUGAGGGGACGGCCAGUCACCCUGGGACUGAGACACGGCCCAGACGCCUACGGGAGGCAGCAGUGGGGAAUCUUGGACAAUGGGGGCAACCCUGAUCCAGCGAUGCCGCGUGGGUGAAGAAGGCCUUCGGGUUGUAAAGCCCUUUAGGCGGGGAAAAAUGGUAGUUGGUCUAAUAGGCCGAUUAUUUGAUGGUACUCAUAGAGGAAGCACCGGCUAACUUCGUGCCAGCCGCCGCAGUAA
rnacentral:rRNA from 1 species